rnacentral:lncRNA from 1 species
UAAUAUCUAAUAUAUGAUAUAUUAAUUGUGCUAAAUUGUGCUUUUUCAAUCUAUUUUCACUAAGUAAGUCCAAUAGAUUUAAAACUUAUUUUUUGCUAAAUCAAUUACGAAAUAUUUUUCUAAAAUGUCCAAUAUCUGUUUUAUAUCUUCGCUACGAAAAUGUUCAAUUUUCAUAAGAUCUUCUUGGCUGUUAUUCAAAAGGUCCAAUAAUGUAUAUAUAUUGGACAUUUUGAGGCAAUUAUAGAUCCUGGAAGACAAUUCUGAUUGGUCAAUAAAAAUCGAUUUCAAUGCUAUUUUUUUUUUGUUUUUUAUGAGUUUAGCCAAUUUAUCAUGAAAGGUAAAAGGGGAUAAAGGAACCGUGUGUUGAUUGUCCUGUAAAUAUAAGUUGUCUUCCUCCAUAUGUAAAAAGGGAAUAAAUAAAUCAAUUAAAUUUCGGGAUGCGUCAUGAAGUGCUUCUUUCGGAGUUAAACUUCCGUUUGUCCAUAUUUCGAUAAAAAGUAUCUCUUGUUUUUCAUUCCCAUUCCCAUAAGAAUGAAUACUAUGAUUCGCGUUUCGAACAGGCAUGAAUACAGCAUCUAUAGGAUAACUUCCAUCUUGAAAGUUAUGUGGCGUUUUUAUAAGAUAUCCACGAUUUCUCUCUAUUUGUAAUCCAAUACAAAAAUCAAUUGGUUCCGUUAAACUAGCUAUAUGUUGUGUAUUAUCAACGAUUUCCACAUAAGGUGGCAAGAUGAUAUCUUGAGCAGUUACAUAUCCAGGACCCUUGACACAAAUAGACGCCUCAGAAGUUCCAUAUAAAUUACUUCUCAAUACAAUCUCUUUCAAAUUCAUUAAAAUUUCAUGUACCGAUUCUUGAAUGCCCGUUAUGGUAGAAUAUUCAUGUGGUACUUUCUCAGAUUUUACACGUGUGAUACAUGUUCCUUCUAUUUCCCCAAGUAAAGCUCUUCGCAUCGCAAUGCCUAUUGUGUCGGCUUGGCCUUUCAUAAGUGGAGACAGAAUAAAGCGUCCAUAAUAAAGGCGUUUACUGUCUGUUCUUGAUUCAACACACUUCCACUGUAGUGUCCGAGUAGAUACUGUUACUUUCUCUCGAACCAUAGUACUAUUAUUUGAUUAGAUCAUCGAAUCUUUUAUUUCUCUUGAGAUUUCUUCAAUGUUCAGUUCUACACACGUCUUUUUUUCGGAGGUCUACAGCCAUUAUGUGGCAUCGGAGUUACAUCCCGUACGAAAGUUAAUAGUAUACCACUGCGACGAAUAGCUCGUAAUGCUGCAUCUCUUCCGAGACCGGGACCUUUUAUCAUGACUUCUGCUCGUUGCAUACCUUGAUCCACUACUGUACGGAUAGCGUUUGCUGCUGCGGUUUGAGCAGCAAACGGUGUUCCUCUUCUCGUACCUUUGAAUCCAGAAGUACCAGCUGAGGACCAAGAAACUACUCGACCCCGUACAUCUGUAACAGUGACAAUGGUAUUAUUGAAACUUGCUUGAACAUGAAUAACUCCCUUUGGUAUUCUACGUGCACCCUUACGUGAACUAAUACGUCCAUUCCGACGCGAACUAAUUUUCGGUAUAGCUUUUGCCAUAUUUUAUCAUCUCGUAAAUAUGAGUCAGAGAUAUAUGGAUAUAUCCAUUUCAUGUCAAAACAGAUUCUUUAUUUGUACAUCGGCUCUUCUGGCAAGUCUGAUUAGCCCUGUCUUUGUUUAUGUCUCGGGUUGGAACAAAUUACUAUAAUGCGCCCCCUCCUACGGAUUAGUCGACAUUUUUCACAAAUUUUACGAACGGAAGCUCUUAUUUUCAUAUUUAUCAUUCCUUACCUUAAUUCUGAAUCUAUUUCUUGGAAGAAAAUAAGUUUCUUGAAAUUUUUCAUCUCGAAUUGUAUUCCCACGAAAGGAAUGGUGAAGUUGAAAACCUAAUCCUUCAAAUCUUUGUUGUGGAGUCGAUAAAUUAUAUGUCCUUUGGUUGAAUCAUAAGGACUUACUUCAAUUUUGACUCUAUCUCCUGGCAGUAUCUGUAUAAAACAAAGUUCCUUUGAGGUAUCAACUAAUGCGAAAGAUAUUAGAUAACUCUCCCCCCCUUUUUCGCAAAUAGGAAGUUUCGAAUUCAAUUUGCAUAUUAUAAAGGAUUACCAGAUAUAACACAAAAUUUCUCCACCUAUUCCUUCUAGUCGAGCCUCUCGGUCUGUCAUUAUACCUCGAGAAGUAGAAAGAAUUACAAUCCCCAUUCCACCUAAAAUUCGCGGAAUUCGUUGAUAAUUAGAAUAGAUUCGUAGACCAGGUCGACUGAUUCGUUUUAAAUUUAAAAUAUUUCUAUAGGGUCUUUUCCUAUUCCUUCUAUGUCGCAGGGUUAAAACCAAAAAGUAUUUGUUGUUUUCUCGAUGUUUUCUCACGUUUUCGAUAAAACCCUCUCGUAAAAGUAUUUGAACAAUAUUUUCGGUAAUAUUAGUAGAUGCUAUUCGAACCACCCUUUUUCGAUCCAUAUCAGCAUUUCGUAUAGAAGUUAUUAUCUCAGCAAUAGUGUCCCUGCCCAUGAUGAACUAAAAUUAUUGGGGUCUCCAAAUUUGAUAUAAUCAACGUGUUUUUUACUUAUUUAUUUUUGAAUAUGAUAUGAAUUAUUAAAGAUAUAUGCGUGAGACACAAUCUACUAAUUAAUCUAUUUCUUUCAAAUACCCCACUCGAAACAGAUCACAAUUUCAUUUUAUAAUACCUCGGGAGCUAAUGAAACUAUUUUAGUAAAAUUUAAUUCUCUCAAUUCCCGGGCGAUUGCACCAAAAAUUCGAGUUCCUUUUGGAUUUCCUUCUUGAUCAAUAACAACUGCAGCAUUGUCAUCGUAUCGUAUUAUCAUCCCGUUGUCACGUUUGAGUUCUUUACAGGUACGCACAAUUACAGCUCUGACUACUUCUGAUCUUUCUAGGGGCAUAUUUGGUACUGCUUCUUUGAUCACAGCAACAAUAACGUCACCAAUAUGAGCAUAUCGACGAUUGCUAGCUCCUAUGAUUCGAAUACACAUCAAUUCUCGAGCCCCGCUAUUAUCCGCUACAUUUAAAUGGGUCUGAGGUUGAAUCAUUUUUUUAAUCCGUUCUUUGAAUGCAAAGGGCGAAGAAAAAAAAAGAAAUAUUUUUGUCCAAAAAAAAGAAACAUGCGGUUUUCUUUCAUAUCUAAGAGCCCUUUCUACAUUUUUUUCUAUUACAUUACGAAAUAAUGAAUUGAGUUCGUAUAGGCAUUUUGGAUGCUGCUAGUGAAAUAGCCCUUCUGGCUAUAUUUUCUGUUACUCCACCCAUUUCAUAAAGUAUUCGCCCCGGUUUAACAACAGCUACCCAAUAUUCAGGGGAUCCUUUUCCUGAACCCAUACGGGUUUCUGCCGGUCUUAAUGUAACAGGUUUGUCUGGAAAUAUACGUACCCAUAUUUUUCCACCACGACGUGCAUUUCGUGUCAUUGCCCGUCGGCCUGCUUCUAUUUGUCGAGAUGUAAUCCAAGCAGGUUCAAGUGCCUGAAGAGCAUAUUUACCGAAAGAAAUACGAUUACCUCGAUAAGAUAUUCCCUUCAUUCUGCCUCUAUGUUGUUUACGGAAUCUGGUUCUUUUGGGGUUAUAGUUGAUGGUUGGUUCUGAAUUCCAUCUCUACUACAGAACCGGACGUGAGAGUUUCUUCUCAUCCAGCUCCUCGCAAAUAAAAGGAUUCAAAAAAAUUCAAUUUGAAUUAAGCUAGAAUAGUAAAUCUUAAGUUAAGAUAUAUAAGAUAUGUAUUUACUGAGUAAUACCUUGAACGUGGGCUUCUUUGAGAUUUCAUUAAAUCUAUUAGUAAUUUGUAUAUCUUGUUUGAAUAGAUAACUAAACUUUGUAGUUUUCUAAAGAGAAAUAAAAAAAAUUGUAUUAUUAUACCAAAUCCUUAUUUUGUCCUUUAUUGUAUUGUCCUAAAUUUUGCAAUAAAAAAGUUUUCGCGGGCGAAUAUUUACUCUUUCAAUCCCUAUUUCAUUUGUAGGGUUAACUCGUGACUUCUCAGAUCUCAGAAUACAUGAAUUAAUCUAUGGUUCGUUCCGCCAUCCCGACCAGUGAAUCAUUAAGAUUCCUUUUUCAAUAGAAUCUUUUGCAUUCACAAGUUCCGUCGUUCCCAUCACUUCUUACUUAAUGGUUAGGUCCGAAUUCUACAAUGGAGCUCAGAAUCAAAUUGGUUCUUGAGUCAAUCUUCUUAGUCUUUAUUGGCUCGAAGCUCUUGAUUUUUUGUUCUAUUUCUAUAAGAAGAUUCUUUUUAGUAUGGUAUGAAUGCGUAUUGAUGCUUUAUUACACUGUCUUUUAUGAGAUUACUCAUAGACCUUACAUAUUGGAAUUUUAUAUCAUUGGUAUUCUUUUUCUCUCUUUCUCUCAUCCUUCCCUUUAUCCACAUCUUUUUUGUCUAUUUUGCUUUACAACUUAGAAGCAGAUUUUUUGUUUAUGCAAAAGAUUUCAGUUGCUACAAAGAUAUGACCUAUAUAUCAUAUCUUGACUGGUUCUUUAGAUCCAGAUAAUGCGAAGUGAUGGGUUGGUUAUUAGUUCUAUAGUUUUUAGUUCAUACUAUGUGGGCUGGGUUUUUUUAAUCCUAACCCUAACAAAACCCACGAGUCACACACUAAGCAUAGCAAUUAUAUCAAAUGGUCAAUCGAAUUUUUAUUCAACCUUAUAGAAUUAAGAAUUAGAAAGAAUUAAGAAUUAGAAAUGUUCCCCUUGAUUAGAAAAAGAAUGAAUUGGUCUUUUUUUUUGUUCAAUCAUUGGAUAGAAGGGAAAGACAAGUAGUAAAAUUAUUCCUCGUCUAGAAAUAUCCAAAUUUUGAUGCCCAAUAUUCCAUAGAUAGUUCGAACUGUAUAAGAGCAAUAAUCAAUUUUAGCUCGAAUCGUUUGUAGGGGAACCCUGCCUUCUCUGAUCCAUUCGACACGUGCAAUUUCUUUUCCGUCGAUACGCCCCGCAAUUUGUAUUUGAAUUCCUUUUGUAUCCGCUUGUUCUGUUAAUUCAAUAGCCUUUUUCAUUGCUUUUCGAAAUG